UGGAACUUGAAAUGUUGGGAGAGAAGGACCCGAGGUGGACUUUCUCUAAGGAAGAUGCUCGCAUGAAGAGCCGCCCCACGGGCGCAGCCGGAGUGGCGCUUCCCGCAGGCCCGAGUCUAGGACGCCUUCGAGGAAAACAAGGGAGACGCAUGGGCUCCCUUGAACUUUGCUUUCUUCACGGUUAUCUUUUAACCAUUUCAAACCAGUACUUGUUCUUUAAUUGGAUCGUGCAGAAUGACUUGGUGAAUGUCUAAAGACAGUUGGUGGUGGUUCUUCCAGAAGAGAAACGCCAAGGUUUGGACUUUGAGUAGUUCUCGUUCACCUCUGUGUCCUUUUGCAUCUGUUUUUUUGAAUAGUCACAUGUUUUAGCUUUCAGCUCUGGCUUGGCAAGUAAUUUAUCUUGUAUGAACAAACCAUGCACGCAGCUGCCGGUGGAGUGGGCGGACUCUGGAUCCCUGAUCAGUGAAGAGAAAAGGGAGGAGGGGUUUAGCCCAAGCACCUUCGAGGACAAAAUAGAAUCAUGACGCCUUUCCGGUCACCAAAGAGCCCUUUUGACAAAUUGUGGAGACACUCCUAAAGGGAGUCGUCAAGGUGAUUAACAUCCUUCAUCCCAUCCCUUCUCCUGGCUGCUCCUGGGACCAGCACAGCCCUUGUCUGCGAAGGGAGAAGAAAGGGGUUCACUGACUCACAUGGGCCUAAACAAAACAUCAACCCCAAUGGGGGGCUCCUAGCUCACCAGUCACAGACACUAACGUCUCUGAGGAGAUACCGAGAUCAUCAGAACAAUCCCUCUCAGCAACCACCAUGGGCAAAGCAACCACAAGAAGUUCAAGCCUUCAAAACAGAGGGCAAUAGCCCAGGCCCACUCCUCUAAAACUGCAGAUAAGUCUGAUGCUACAACAGGAAAAAGAACACAAAACAAUGUCACUGUGGAAUAGUUUAACUGCCAACUACCCCACUUCCCCUGGCACACUUCUGACAAGCUCCAAAAGAUUGAAAAGGCACUGGAACUAGGGCUCUGAGCUUCUCUGAGCUGGUAAGGUUCCUGUAAGAACAUUCCUAAAUGUGUGUCUUAUAUUUGGGUACAUGGAACAGUGUCCCCAGUCAAUCCAAAAUAGCAGUUGC
ensembl:lncRNA